rnacentral:rRNA from 1 species
UUUGGGAAUAUUGGACAAUGGAGGAAACUCUGAUCCAGUGACGCCGCGUGAAGGAAGAAGGUCUUCGGAUUGUAAACUUAUUUUAUCAGGGAAGAAGAAAGUGACUGUACCUGAAGAAGAAGGACCGGCUAACUACGUGCCAGCAGCCGCGGUAAUGCGUAGGGUCCAAGCGUUAUCCGGAUUUACUGGGUGUAAAGGGCGAGUAGACGGCAUAGCAAGUCAGAUGUGAAAACUUAGGGCUCAACCUUAAGCGUGCAUCUGAAGCUGUUAAGCUAGAGUGCAGAAGAGGUAAGCGGAAUUCCUAGUGUAGCGGUGAAAUGCGUAGAUAUUAGGAGGAACACCAGUGGCGAAGGCGGCUUACUGGGCUGUAACUGACGUUGAGGAGCGAAAGUG